rnacentral:lncRNA from 1 species
CUUCUUUUCUUAGUUCCUAUCUGCUUAGAGAACUUGCCUUAGCAAUUAUUCUAGGGCAAGUCAGCUGGUGACAAAUUCUCUUAAUGCUCCUUCAUUUGAGAGUGACCUCAUUUCCCCUUCCUAUUUUCUUCUUUUCUUUCAGCACUUGAAAAAUGUUGUGGUGCUUCCUUCUGGCUUUCUCGAUUUCUGAUGAGAAAUCUACUGUCACUUGAAUUGUUUUCCCUAUAGGUAUUCAUGCGAUGUGGUGAUGAUGGUAGUGAAAGGCAAGAAAGGGCUGAGAGGCGAGAGGAGAGAGACGCUUGCUCCCGCUCACCCUGGGGCUCUGAGCCUCACUCCUCCAUGGUCCUGGGCUUGGUGCUGGAGCCCAGGAAGCUCCUCCAGCUGGACACUUCUGGAUGCUGACAUGUUCCCUUGCUGUGGUAUGUGGGCCCGUGGGCUAUUUCCAAUUAGUCACUUUUCCAUCGAGCUUUCCGUCCGGAGCACUUGCUGGUCCCCAGGCCCCUGAGCCCCGUUUGAUCGAAGCCUUGUUCUCCCUGCACUGCUGUAAACAGCGAUGAGAUCGGAGAACCUGGGCGGGAAGGCAGUGCCAGCUCUCCCUCACCGAGCAGGAAGCCACGCCCGAGGCCGCCUGGGGAAGAGGGGCUCGCCACGAGCAGCUGGAGACGGGCACCCCUUCCUGGCAGGGAUCCCCCAGGCCUGUGGGAGCCCCUGCACCUGUGGCUUGCCUAGAAGGCAGGGAGGGAGGGGAUCCCACUCAAGGCCUUGCUGUCCGUGUCACAGGGACUCACUCCUCUGCCGGGUGGGAGGUUCUUCCCCAGAUUGCUGCAUGACGGACGUGUUCCCUCGGGUCCUCAGGUUCUCUGAAUGCCACUCCUCAGAUCCCUCUCCGUCAACACCAGGCCCAUUACACACACGCCUGUGGGUUGUAAUCUUGUCUCCUUGUUGACUGUAGCCAGGAGGGCAGGGCUUCAUCGGUCUCGCUUACUGAGACCGGGGCCUGGUAUUCAGGGUGUUCUGCAAAUACUUGUUAGUGAAUGAGUGGGUCCAGCCCCUCUGCUUGCACAGGUGGCCAUCUG